GUGCUCGCUUUGACAGCACAUAUAUUUAAAUUGGAAUGAUGCAGAGAAGAUUAGCAUGGCCCCUGCACAAGGAUGACACGCACAUUCGUGAAGCAAUCCAGUUUUUU
rfam:Tupaia chinensis contig172710, whole genome shotgun sequence.